CCACAUUUGCCACUCCUCACUCCACCUAACCAAACCAGUAAAAGUGAGCCAAUUAACAGAUCAAUCUAGUAAGAAACAAAAAAAUCUAGAAACUUCAGUAGACAGUGGUCAAUAGUGACUUUUCAAACUGAUGUGGUGUCACACAUUCUGUGAGCAUGUCAGAGGCAGCAGCAUCACAUCAAACUUUGCCAUGGAAGUUGUCAGGUGUGCGUGUUGCAGCUUUUCAUGGCUCAUAUAGAACUGAUGCUAUCACUAUUUUUUUAUAUUUUUUCCUUUUAAUGAAUAACAAACAGGGUUGAGGAUAACUUAGCCCGGUAAUUUGAACUGAAAGCGAAGCAUAGGGUUUCCUUCUUGAUGUCAAGUCCAUCUCUUCCACACUCUCCACUCUUCUUGCUCUGUCUACUGCCACUAAUUUUCUUUUCCAGCAGCCCACAUCCCUUCUAAUCCAUCUCACUCCAAUGUUUUUCUAAUGAUGUCUCUUCCUUUUUGGUAUUAGAUCCUUUUUAUAAAUUCUGACCAUUAAUAAAAGAACAUGUCUAACUGCAUAAAAUGUAAAAUUUUUACCAAUACUUUUCAAUAGCAGGCAUAUUCCUGCCAUUUGGUUGACAAGUUGUUCC